CCAUUACCUUGCUUCGUUGUCGCUAAAGGAGAGGGAGCCACGAGGAGCGUUGCUUUCAUGGACGAGCAGAACGCGAAUAAUGUGGAGGGAAACCUGCCGCUGCACCGCCACGCCUAGCUGCCGGAGAACGGCGCCGUGGUCACCGGGAAGCAUGCUAGAGGUGCUGCUGUCCCUGUCCUUCCUUCCUUCCUAGUUGUCCAGGUUGAGUUACUGUUGUUAGCUGGUGCUCUUGUGGUUGUUAUCGCUGCAGAACAUAGUUGGAGUUGACGCCGUUGUUUUUGGGCCGAGGGUAAAAGGUUUUCUUUAAUACGUUGGUUCGAUUUUUUGAGGUAGGGGAUAUUUUAUUAAAUUAAAUAUUUUAAAUUUGAAUGCCUAAGAAGUUGAUUGGAUUAUUGCAAAUAUAGGAAUGCUUGAUAUGUGAUGGAUUUUGGAUGUGGAUUAAAUAUGUGACUGGUUGUAUCUCUUGUUGGAAUAUGUUUGAAUGAUAGCUUAAGGAUGCUUGGCAAUGCUGAUUUUGUUUUUUAAGAUUGAUUUUGAGUUAAGAUCAUGCUUGUGAUUGAAUUGUUUAUUUGACGAGGUUGUGAUUAUUGUUAAUGUUGAUUUAUGAUUAAUUAGAAUUGAUUUCGAGGAUUGUUAAAAGAUUGAAGUUUAGUUAUUGAAUGGUUUUCUUGAACAUUGAUUUUUAUUAAAAUAAGAUUGUAACUUUGCUAAUGAGUAAGUAACUCUAAAAUAGUUGAAAUUAUGUGAAGCUGAUUUUUGAAUAGUAGUUAUGAAAUUCUUGAAGUUGGAUGGGUUUACUUUUAAAAGAAUGAUAGUCGUCAAACUGGUUUAUGAUAAGUUGUUUAUUGAGAAUCUAUUGUUAUGAUAACUGCUGAUGAAACGGGCUGGUGAUUUGUUGAGAAAGAGGAAACCCAUAAGGGUGGCUAAGCCCGAGUUUUAGGCAAAGUACUGCGAAAAUUUUUAUAAAAUUUGGGACUUUAUUUGAAAUGCUAUUUAGAUUUGGUUUUGGAAAGUUAGAUUAUUUGAGACUUAUUUAGUUGAAAAAAGAUUUAUUCUAUUUUGAAUUCGAUUUAUUAAGAAAAGUAUAAUGUUUUAAACUCAAUCUUUUAAGAAGGAAUUUUGCUUUAAGUUAUGUUUUGAGUUUGGUUUGAUAAGAAAGAAAAGAAGAAGAAUGAAAAGUAAAGAAAAGAGAGAUAAUUAAAGGAAUCUCUGCCACAGGAGAGCAGAGAACAAAGACUAAAGGAAUAUAUUAAUUAAAGGAAUGUCUGCCACUGGAGAGCAAAUGCGACUUUAUUUAGGCCUUAGUGCCAAAUGUAUAGUAGGGACGCCCACACACCGAGAACUGUUUUCCAGAUGUAAGCUCAUUGAUUUGAAAGUCACUGUAUGCGGCCUAGCCGUAAGACUUAUAAGAACACUGUAUGCAUCUGGAACGCCAUAUCUGGCACUUGUGCCCGGGUAAUGUCGGGAGCGGGUAGGCAACCAACACAUGAGCUCAUGAUCUACACUAGGAC